AUGUGUUAGCAUGAGUGCAUUAAUAACGUUAAAAACGUUUACCGGUCUGCGGUUGAAUCGAAUCACAGCCGACAUUUUGGAAUGUUUCGGAGACUCGGAGCGCCUCAUCCUUCAGCGUCCUCGUGCUAUUCCCGAGCUGUUAAACCUCACAAUGAGGUCGUUGUCUCAUACAGGAAGCCGGUCUUUCGCUGACUCACCUCUUUGCCAAACAGGACCACAGAUCAGCAGUGUUAGGAAUGAGUGCUGUGAGUGAGUCAGGAGCAGAGUCGCUUGGCCUUCAGUGUGUAAUCACCUGAUCAAUGCCCUGUUUAUUACGGACACAGCGGGGCAACAGAGAGACUCCUGUGUCCGGACGCGCUGCGGUGCGGUGUACGAACACGUAGAGCAGGUUUCUGAAGCGUGCGCUUUGUUUGAGUACUAACAAGAAAACACACCAAUACUCCAUUAAGUGCUGGCAUGCGUCUGUGCAGCAGCGUUAAAGGAAUACUCCAGCGUUUUUAUUCCCACUCUCUAUCCGCUGUGUGUGUGUGUGUGUGUGUGUGUGUGUGUGUGUGUGUGUGUUUCCUUGAACUGAGGGGGAAAAACCCCCGUUUACUUCAAGCUCACGUGUAAUGGAAGUCUAAGUUCAGCUGUUAAAUGGUUUGUUUUUUUGCAAAACAUUUUUGUCCACUGUCAUGAAUUCCUUAGCACUUUUUUUUUUUUGUGGUAAAUUAAGCCGCCUAAUUUAGGACUGGUAUCCCUAAUAACGAUGAUAAUUAUAAUUAUGAGAUAGCGAGUCAUAAUUCUGAGAUACUAAGUCGUGAUUUUUAGAUAACAGGUCGACGUUUUCAGUUAAUAGACUUGUAACUCGAAAUGAACACUCGGUAUCUCAGAUGACUUUUAAUUAUCUCAUAAUUAUGACUUCGUAUGUCAAAAUGAUUACUGAUGAUCUCAAUGACGAUAGUAUCUUGAAAUGAUGAACUGUCUCUUAAUUAUGACUUAGUAUCUCAAAAUGUUGAAUUAUCUCAACUUUGUGACUUAUAGUAUCACGAAAGUAUGACGUGUUUUUAUUGUGAUUUAGUAUCUCGUGAUGAUGAAUUAUCUCAUAAUCAGGACUUGUUUUUAUUAUGAUUUAGUAUCUCGUGAUGAUGAAUUAUCUCAGUUAUUACAAUAUCUCGUAACGAUGACUCGUCUCACAAUCAUGACUUAAUAUCUCAUUGAUUAACUAUCUCGAUUAUUAAAAUAUCUCAAAAUGAUGAAUUGUCUCAUAAUUAUGGCUUGUUUUAAUGAUGAUUUAGUAUCUCGUGAUGAUGAAUUAUCUCACUUAUUACAAUAUCUCGUGAUGAUGACUCAUCUCAUAAUCAUGACUUAAUAUCUCGUAUUGAUUAUCUCAAUUACUAUAAUAUCUCGUAAUGGUGAAUUAUCUCAUAAUCAGGACUUGUUUUAAUUAUGACUUAGUAUCUCGUAAUGAUGAAUUAUCUCUAUUACAAUAUCAGGUAAUGAUGAAUUAUCUCAUAAUUACAAUAUCACGUUAUGAUGAAUUAUCUCAUAAUUAUGACUUGUUUUAAUGAUGACAAUAUCUUGUAAUGAUGAAUUCUCAUAAUCAUGACUUACAGUAUAAU
ensembl:lncRNA